rnacentral:rRNA from 1 species
GAUUGAUGGGGAUGGUUGGGGGCAUUUGUAUUUAACUGUCAGAGGUGAAAUUCUUGGAUUUGUUAAAGACAAACUAAUGCGAAUGCAUUUGCCAAGGAUGUCUUCUUUAAUCAAGAACGAAAGUUAGGGGAUCGAAGACGAUUAGAUACCGUCCUAGUCUUAACCAUAAACUAUGCUACCAAGAAAUUGGAGGCGGUUGCCUGUUGAUUCCUUCGGCAUUUUUUGAGAAAUCAAAGUCUUUGAGUUCCAGGGGGAGUAUGGUCGCAAGACUGAAACUUAAAGGAAUUGAUGGAAGGGCACCACCAGGAGUGGAGCCUGCGGCUUAAUUUGACUCAACACGGGGAAACUCACCAGGUCCAGACAUAGUAAGGAUUGACAGAUUGAUAGCUCUUUCUUGAUUCUGUGGGUGGUGGUGCAUGGCCGUUCUUA